rnacentral:rRNA from 1 species
UACGUAGGGUGCGAGCGUUGUCCGGAAUUAUUGGGCGUAAAGAGCUCGUAGGCGGUGUGUCACGUCGGCCGUGAAAACCUGCAGCUUAACUGUGGGCGUGCGGUCGAUACGGGCAUCACUGGAGUUCGGCAGGGGAGACUGGGAUUCCUGGUGUAGCGGUGAAAUGCGCAGAUAUCAGGAGGAACACCGGUGGCGAAGGCGGGUCUCUGGACAGUUCCUGACGCUGAGGCACGAAGGUCAGGGGAGCAAACGGG